CAACCAUAUACAGUCAUUGGCAACAACACAUUUCAUUUUUACGGGAACGAGCAUGGCGUGCACCCGAGAGACCAGGGGACCCUAAAUUGGUGCCAGUCCAGCGAACUAUUUUCUUAUUGCAAGAAAUACAUUUGACUGUAAAGAUUUGGACGGUGAUACCCCCGCAGCACCUGAUUUCGAGAACAGCUCGCCCCCGCGUCCACAUGUAUCUGGCAGAUGUACGCGAACAGGACUCCCAAGGAAUACAACUGCCCCAGUCUGCCUUAAAGAGCCAGGCAUGUGCUGGUGAGGCUCUCCCCACAACAGGCUGCCUCUCUGCUCUCUUAAGGUGGACCAGAAGAGAUGUGUUGCGUGUGUCUAGUACCUUGCAGUAACAAUGGACGGGAAAGAGUUAAUUCCCACGGUCUCUCCUCUAGCCUCUGUGAUCUCAUGGAAGGCUGUCCAGUGGAUAUGAGGAUCACUCUCUUCCCCAGAACACUUCUUAUACACCGCAUCUCAUCUAAUAAUAGGGUACACACACACACACAAACACACACACAACACCCCUCAUACAAAGGUAAAUUCAUAUGAGGUGUGUAUGAUGAGAGGUAGGAUUGAUCCCAAGCUGUACAAUACAUGACAACCUGUUAUGACUUGUUGACAGCAUACACAACACAUGACAUUAUGUUACAAUUGUGGAAUGAAUGAGAGGCCCUCACAUAGACUAUUGCUGCUCCAAGUGCUUUAUUCUUGCACCCAAAUACACUACGUUUCGACUUCACAGAAGACUUUGUCCGGUGUAUAUUACGAUUGACCUAAACCUAUUUACAUAUUAUAGUAAUCCUCAUCACUUACUGUAACAUGUUAGUUACAUGAAUGUGUUUUGUGUAUGUCACUGUAUAAAAAUGUAUCUUAAGUUCUUUGUAGGCUAGUCUGUGUUUGUCGGUUGACAGUACCACCUGUCCUCCUUAGCUGAGUGUCUGCCUGAGGUUAGUCCCAGCAUACUGGCAAUAAUCCAUGAACUUGGCGUCAAAACAAUAGGUAUGUUGUACACACCUACACAAUACACACACUUACACAAUACACACAUCUACCAGAAUACACACAUCCACCUAUUCCUAUUCUAACUGAUUUCCUCUAUGCAUUUGUAAAUCUUUGUGUCUGUGAGGUGUGUCUGUGUGUGUGUUUUUUCUCUACUGUCCUCAUGCACUGCUGGUAUCUUUGCGCCACUCUAAUGAUCUUAAAGUAAUCCUUGACUGAUGAGAUUACAGAACACAGUGUGAUAAGGUAUGUAGAGGAGAGACUGAGCAUCACUAUAACAGAUCCACUCAGUGCAAACAGGACAACUACAAAAUGGCUACACUUGACCCAUGAGACCAAUGGGAGAAAAGGGAAAGCCAGUGUGUUAACCCAACAACACGACAAAUGUGAAGCAGAAGUCUAAAGGAUCAGAGGUAUAUAUUGAAAGAGCAGCCUUUUUUAUUGCUUUUGAUGGAAAUUAAAUUGGUUUAUUGAA